rnacentral:rRNA from 1 species
UUUGUGGGGUGCUCGAGUGGCGAACGGGUGAGUAACACGUGAGUAACCUGCCCUUGACUUUGGGAUAACUUCAGGAAACUGGGGCUAAUACCGGAUAGGAGCUCCUGCUGCAUGGUGGGGGUUGGAAAGUUUCGGCGGUUGGGGAUGGACUCGCGGCUUAUCAGCUUGUUGGUGGGGUAGUGGCUUACCAAGGCUUUGACGGGUAGCCGGCCUGAGAGGGUGACCGGCCACAUUGGGACUGAGAUACGGCCCAGACUCCUACGGGAGGCAGCAGUGGGGAAUAUUGCACAAUGGGCGGAAGCCUGAUGCAGCAACGCCGCGUGCGGGAUGACGGCCUUCGGGUUGUAAACCGCUUUCGCCUGUGACGAAGCGUGAGUGACGGUAAUGGGUAAAGAAGCACCGGCUAACUACGUGCCAGCAGUCGCGGUGAUACGUAGGGUGCGAGCGUUGUCCGGAUUUAUUGGGCGUAAAGGGCUCGUAGGUGGUUGAUCGCGUCGGAAGUGUAAUCUUGGGGCUUAACCCUGAGCGUGCUUUCGAUACGGGUUGACUUGAGGAAGGUAGGGGAGAAUGGAAUUCCUGGUGGAGCGGUGGGAUGCGCAGAUAUCAGGAGGAACACCAGUGGCGAAGGCGGUUCUCUGGGCCUUUCCUGACGCUGAGGAGCGAAAGCGUGGGGAGCGAACAGGCUUAGAUACCCUGGUAGUCCACGCUGUAAACGGUGGGUACUAGGUGUGGGGUCCAUUCCACGGGUUCCGUGCCGUAGCUAACGCUUUAAGUACCCCGCCUGGGGAGUACGGCCGCAAGGCUAAAACU